ACAACCUUACUUGAACAAGAAAUGUUCUAUAGGCUCGUACCAUUAUAUCCUUGAUUUCUAAGGAGCCAGAAACCAAGUGGUGAAUGAAUCAUGGCCAGCAUACCAAAGUGUGAUGAACAACUUCUAUAGCCUUUGAGUCAUGCCACUGUAGAUGAUCGUUCUCAGCUCCAACCAUGGGUGCUGGGAUGGUCAACUGGUUGUCUGACAGAUU
rfam:Capsicum annuum cultivar Zunla-1 chromosome 1, whole genome shotgun sequence